UCGAGGAUCUUCGGCAAUGGGCGCAAGCCUGACCGAGCGACGCCGCGUGCGCGACGAAGGCCUUCGGGUUGUAAAGCGCUGUCGGGGGGGAGAAAGCCGAAAGGUUGAUCUAUCCCCGGAGGAAGCACGGGCUAAGUUCGUGCCAGCAGCCGCGGUAAGACGAACCGUGCGAACGUUGUUCGGAAUCACUGGGCUUAAAGGGCGCGUAGGCGGUUCAUCAAGUCAGGGGUGAAAUCUUUCGGCUCAACCGGAAAAGUGCCCCUGAUACUGAUGAUCUCGAGGGAGGUAGGGGCCUGUGGAACUUCUGGUGGAGCGGUGAAAUGCGUUGAUAUCAGAAGGAACGCCGGUGGCGAAAGCGACGGGCUGGACCUCUUCUGACGCUGAGGCGCGAAAGCCAGGGGAGCAAACGGGAUUAGAUACCCGUGUAGUCC
rnacentral:rRNA from 1 species